GCCAGAUCUUUGACUUGGAGAGGGAGAUCAGACGGAUUGUAGACUCUCUUUCCAUUGGAGUGGGCACAUCGACUUCUUCUGCACCAUAGAUGGAUGACUUGGCUCGAGAGAUAGAGAGACUUCACUCACAGCUUCGCUCUUCUCUUGGGGUGCUCAAGACUGAUAUCUGAGACUCCAGAGAUUUUCUGACAUCUAAUCUGGAUGGUCUCCGACUGACUAUGAGAUAGGGUAUCCUGUCUCAGCUUGAUGCCAUCAGGACUCAGCUUCAGUCUAGGCCCUCUGUAUCUAGUGAGCCAAACUUUGUUCAGCCUAUUGCUUUCCGUCCUCUGGCAUCUUCCUCUCAAUCUAGACCUUU
rnacentral:lncRNA from 1 species